GGGGAGGGGGAGGCCAGAGGCUUUUCAAGGCGCUGGGGGCUCCGGCCGGCCCGAUGGGGAAACUGAGGCCUGGAAACAGAGAACGGUGGGACCAAGGUCACAUGAUGGCGGAAGGAGGACAAGGAAGGAGGCUGACUGCGUAUCCAGCACGUGUUCCGUGCCAAGCCUGUGCAGGGGCCAAGGACCGGGGUCUCUGGACAGCGCCGGUUGCUGGGUCCCACGCUGGGCGACAGGGCCUUUGCAAUCAGGCCGACAGGGUUUGAACCCUUGCCGCGGCACUUUCCAGAUGGCCUUGGCCACUGUCCCCUCUCUGACCUUCAGAUGGAGCCCAUGGCACCUCCGGAGGGGGUGUGUGCUUCCAGGACCAAAUCCACUUGUGCGUGGUUAGGCACGAGGUGGGGGGAGGCGGCUCAGCCACCGGGACCUGUCCUGCCUCCACCCUCUGUGCAACCCCUUUCCUUGCCUUUUGUCUCUGUUGCUUUUGGGGGGUGAUUAGCCGCUAGCUCAGCGGCUAGAGGAUUCUCUCCCGGAAAAGGCUCCGGAGUUGAGGCCCAGACCCCCAGGGCAAGACGGAAUCUGCUCCCCAGGGCACUAACUGAGACUCGGUUCCCUCACUGGUAAAAUGAGAAAACUCACUUAUGGUCAGGGGUCCCCGAGUUAAUGCCAGUGAAUUCCUUGGCAGAGCAUCAAGCACUUGGAGAAGCCCCCACCCCCGGUCAUUGUGAUGAUGGUUUGUUUGUUUGUUUGUUUGUUUUGAGACGGAGUCUCGCUCUGUCGCCCAGGCUGGAGUGCAGUGGCGCGAUCUCGG
rnacentral:lncRNA from 10 species